rnacentral:lncRNA from 1 species
UUAUUGGACCAAUACAUAUAGGACGGCAGCAAGACACAAUUGAAAAAAAAUAAGUUUGACGGCAGAGCCCUAUAUUCGAAAAAAGAUAAACAUCAAAAGGAGGCUGCCAUUGUUGGAGUUGACAUCGAUCAAAGAAGGAGAAGCUGGUUCAAAAUUCAAAGUCGUGAUUCAAGAUUCGGGUUUGGUUUGCAAUUUAUUAUUUUUUUGGUUUUGUUAGACUUUGUGUUUUACAAAAUUAUAAACAUGUUUUGCUACUUGAUUCAGACUUGUUGAGAUGAACUAGAGGAUUGUAAUGCGUUUGUGACAUGUUUUCGGUUAUUUGAUGUGAUUUACAUAACUUUUCUUUGAUAUUGAUCUUGAUAUUGCAUGUUGGUAUGUUUUGGUUAUUUUAUUAGUCAAUAAAUUCAGCGGUUUAGGCACGAAGAAAUUCCCCCUAGACUUAGGAUUUAAUUUAAUUCGUUGAUCUUAGGAUUUUCGGGUUAGGUAUUGUGUUGAGAAAUUGACCAAGUUGACUAAUAAUUAAAAUCACUAUAUUAAAACUUGCAUCCUCAUCUUGUGACUCGAAAGACGAUUAGGGUGAGCUAGGUUAUUAGCUAAUUAUUGGUGGGUAGAUUGGGUGACCGAUAGCUCGGGCUCGUUUAUUGCAUCGUAAUUAAGGUUUCCUAGGAUUUCAAUUAUCAAAGUUGGGUUUGCUUUGCGAUUUUGGGAUCUUCUCUUAACAUAACUGUCUCUGAGGUCAAAAGGAUUCUAUUUUCGUAGGAUUUGGUAUCGAUAGCUCGAGCCGGUUCGUUCUAGCACUUCACAUUUAGUCUUGCUUCUUCAUUUGGGACAUCUCUAGCGGGGGGUCAAUUGAGGGAAAUAGAUAUUUAACCAUUAUCAUUGUCACAUUAGCAUUGCAUGAUUCUAGGGAUUCGAAGCCUGGGUAGUUCUUUCUCAUCAUUGUCUCCUUCCUGUCACUUCUUGCUUGCUUGCCCUGUUAUCUUGUUUUCUUGCUUUAUUAGUUUAUUAAAAAAAUCCUAAAAACACAAAAUUAAAAACCAAUUAAGUAUUUAGUUUAGUCAGAGUCUAGUUUAGCGUCGCUAGUGUCUCGUGGGUUCGAUACUCGGACUUCAUUAGGCUUUACUACGUACGAUAGGUACACUUGCCUGUCAGUGGUCUAGCAUUUAGAGAGUCUUAGUUUAUAAAUUUAAAACUAGGGUGUCUAGAUUAGGUUAGUAGUUUUUAUUAGACCAUAAUUUGCACAUCAACCAUACCCCUUCAAGUAAGUAUAGUUUUGGUCAUAUUAAUAUAAAUAGUAAUCUUGAAGGGCCAAACCAGUAAAGUGGUAAAACUU